AAGACAGCUACAGUGCACUCAUACACAUAAAAUAAAUCUUAAAAAAGAAACUACCAUAAAGCGGUUGUAUAAAGCAAUAUUCAUGCAAGUUCUUAACAUACUGAGAAGCAGCAGACUCUGGUGCUACAUACCUGUAAUUGAGCAUUUAGGAGGUGGAGCUGGAAGAAGCAUUCAAGGCCAUCUACUCUAAUCUACAUAGCAAGUUUGAGAUCUGCCUGGGCUCCUACCCAGUAUUCCACCUGCAUCCCUCAAGAUACAGGUAAUUGCCAUUUCUUGAUAUUUAUUCUGUGACAGUUCCUUCUCAAAUAUAUUCCCUGAUAUUUAUUCCUACCCUUCUUCAGGUCCAAGGUCAUUCUUGGUUCCAUCAUUUUCCAGUCAAGGAGGUGGAGUUCUCAUAGCGAGAAACUUUGGAAAAAACCAUAAAUAUAAGACGAGGCCACCAGAGGAUGUAACUAUCUCCCAGAGUUCACUAUGGUGAGGAGUACAAGUUCUAGCCAUUGAGGACUGGCUCUGGCGUCAGUCUCUAGUCGAAACAAAGGAAAAACUUGAUUCUGGAGCCAUGGACUGUUGUCUGCCGGAAGGAACCUCUCCGAGUUUCUGUAAAGGUGGUUAACCCGCAGGCAGGAGAUGCUACUUGGGACAUUUUUUUGCAAAUUUACAUUUAUGUUUGUUGAUUCCAUAUUAAACCGAACAAGCAGGCUUGUGGAAGGUAAAGCCUUCUUUUAAUUAACCCUCUUGGUGUGGGCUCAUGUGAUUAAAGAUGACGGAGCUGCUCCUGGGGUUUCUGCUACUGAAAAUACUAACAAUAAUCAUUUGUUUUGUUUUUAUAUUUAAACACAUUAUUGCAUAGCUUGGUGCAGAGAUAAUUACCAAUUUUAUCUCCUGUGUUUUUCUAAUGUUCAUUAAUAACAAUAAAGGGUUGUAGGUUAAAAACUCA